ACACGUUAGACAUGCCUCGCACACUAGCCGGACAACAUCGCUUAAGGAGCUGCCGAGGACGUCGUCUACCAAGCUGCCGACCACAAGGUAUGCUGACAGUUUCGAGUGGGCAGCGUCUGCCGCCCUAGAGAAGGUUGGGAAGGCUAUGAUGGCAACGGACCCAUGAAUCAGUGCAAGAAUCAGUACACGAAAUGAACGCCUGCAUGAGAAAGAGAUUGUGAACAAUACUGCAUGUUACAUUAUUGGAAUAAAGCAUUCAAGGCGAACUACAGCGAAA